rnacentral:misc_RNA from 1 species
AAGUCGUAACAAGGUCUCCGUUGGUGAACCAGCGGAGGGAUCAUUACAGAGUUGAAAAACUCCCUAAACCCUUUGUUUAUCUACCUGUUCAGUUGCUUCGGCAGGCGGCCCCAGGGCGGGGCCUCCGGCCUGCUUAGGCAGGUGCCUGCCGCUGGCGCAAAAAACUCUUGUUAUAUGUUACCACUCUGAGUCUCAAAAAAAUGAAUCAAAACUUUCAACAACGGAUCUCUUGGUUCUG